GCCCCCGUAGCUCAGUCGGUCAGAGCGGCGGCCUUUUAAGCCGCGCGGCGUGGGUUCGAGUCCCACCGGGGGCA
rnacentral:tRNA from 1 species